GUUUUAUUUGAUGAUAUUUGGUGUAACUGUGGAAAAUUAUUACAAUUUCAUUUAUUUAUACAUACAACAACUACUACCUUGAAUUCUUGUUUCUUCAUUAUAGUCUUCCUCACCUCAAGUAUGCUUCUUCUCCAUUGCAAUCUCAACCCCACUGCCAUAAGAUGGACGAUACGAUACGUUAGCAAAACAAAGGCGCAUGCAUUUGUGAGGGGCAUGCCAUUUCCAUGAGUGUUAUAUAUCCACAUAGAGUGAUUUGAACAUCCUUUAUCGAAAAGUAAGUAAAAUAGUUAUGUUUCGAUACAUAAUAGUGAACACCACUGGUCUAAACUAUGUGUGACCGUGUUAUCCUAUAGUACUCCUAUAUAACCAAGAACUACGUUCUUGAAGUUUUAGAAAUUGAACAUGACACUUUCUAUAAACAACAGGAAGCUCAGUAAUACGACCUAAGAAAUGCCUGUGGAAACAAUCUUGAGAAUAUUUGGUCUUUUGCUUUGAUAAGCAACUCGUAUAGUCCAUAACAGGGGAUGUGAACCAGAGCCAUGCCAAAAUACCACAAUGGUGCCCAUGGAGUGUUAAGUUCCAAGAAAGGAUACGGCCACCAAGAUAAGCAGCACACAUGUAGACUCCACUGGAAAACAAUAUAAGAACAGCUCCAUAGUAUAAAAUAAGUGAUACCAAACCAAGUAAAUUGAAGAUUGCUCAGGACUGAAUCAAGAAGAAGAAAUACAGCAUUUACAGAGUGCAUUAAUCCAAUCAGCAGGGUGAGCUUAAAAUUUUCACCCGUCAUAAAUGGGAGCAAUAGACACCAAAAGACAAUAUCUGUCAGCAUAACAGCACCUGCACAAAUCUGAUAAAUAAUUAGCAUCAAAUUUUCCAAAAAUCCAAGCUGUUGCUCAGAGUUACUCUGUUCAGCAGUUGUUCUAAGAAAUUUAUCCGUUUCUCCGCGCUGAUUCGUUGUAUACAACCAGCAUCCCCGGGCCGAUAUAAAAGUUCCCAGCGCAAAAUAGAUCCCAACUAAAGCAAAUGUCCAUUGUGUGUAGAAUAGGAAGACGAAGAAUCCUAAGUUAACAACAGUCUGAUAAAUCAUAAAAGCCAUAGCAACUAAAGCGGAAGCUCUAAAGCUGAGAAGCCAAAUAGGAUGGAGAUUUCUCCAACAGGGGAUCCACAGAUCAGUCGACUUUAUAAUAAUAGGUUCGUUUUCUUUUCUCCGCUUGUUGAUGAUGAAUCUUAAUGCGAUUGUUGUUGGUAUGAUGAAGAUUAGAGCACAAACAAAGACUUGCCAUUGAAGCCAGUAGUCUAAACCCAAGGCAGACAUCUCUGUUUCUCUCUUUGUUUUAGUUGAUGGAAAAUAGAAGUAGAACAGAGCUAGUAGAGUAUACAGGCCAUGGAAAAAUCAACAGGAUGACUCGUUUGCAGGCAUACCACAACCGAUAAGUUAAGAUUGGUUGGUAGUUGCCAUUUCUGAAACUCAAGCUUUUGAAAAUAGCCUCUCGAAGAAACGUAUAAUAAAACUGUGUACGAUAGAUUCUUG
rnacentral:misc_RNA from 1 species